GUGAUGCUGGCUCAGGACGAACGCUGGCGGCAUGCCUAAUACAUGCAAGUCGAACGAUGAAGCACUCUGCUUGCAGAGUGCGGAAGAGUGGCGAACGGGUGAGUAACACGUGGGGAACCUCCCCAUAAGAGGGGGAUAACAUCCGGAAACGGGUGCUAAUACCGCAUAGGUGAUUUUAGCGCAUGCUUUAAUCAUUAAAGAUGGCUUCGGCUAUCGCUUAUGGAUGGCCCCGCGGCGUAUUAGCUAGUUGGUAAGGUAAUAGCUUACCAAGGCAUUGAUACGUAGCCGACCUGAGAGGGUGAUCGGCCACGCUGGGACUGAGACACGGCCCAGACUCCUACGGGAGGCAGCAGUAGGGAAUCUUCCACAAUGGGCGAAAGCCUGAUGGAGCAAUGCCGCGUGAGUGAAGAAGGUCUUCGGAUCGUAAAGCUCUGUUGUUAGAGAAGAACAAGAGGUGUGGUAACUGGCACCUCCUUGACGGUAUCUAACCAGAAAGUCACGGCUAACUACGUGCCAGCAGCCGCGGUAAUACGUAGGUGACAAGCGUUGUCCGGAUUUAUUGGGCGUAAAGCGAGCGCAGGCGGUCUUUUAAGUCUGAUGUGAAGGCCCACGGCUCAACCGUGGAGGGUCAUUGGAAACUGGAAGACUUGAAUGCAGAAGAGGAAAGUGGAAUUCCAUGUGUAGCGGUGAAAUGCGUAGAUAUAUGGAGGAACACCAGUGGCCAAGGCGA
rnacentral:rRNA from 1 species